UCCCUGGUGGUCCAGUGGUUAAGACUCUGUGCUCCCAAUGCAGGGAGCUCAGGUUCAGUUGCUGCUCAGGGAA
rnacentral:tRNA from 1 species